GGAGACGCUCUCACUCCAGUUCUUCACUGUUUUUCAUCUGUUGGGAUAUUAAGUGCGGCGGGGGAAGUACAGGGUCCUGGUGGCCAGUUGGACUGAUCCUUUCCUUUUUUUUGUGGAAGAUCGUGAGCCAUCCCUGCACUUUCCCCAGCUUCGAGCUGCAUCAAACUUGCAAACAUGAUCAUCAGGCUGGGCAGGCUGACACCUGGAUACUUCCGCCUUCUCCAGAGGCAGGUUGCCGGUGAGGUGCAGACGCAGCCACAGGACCGAGCGGUGAACCAGAUAGCCAUGAUGCUGGCCAUCAUGGGCUUGAGUUUGUCCUACUACAGUGCCAGACAGAUGACGGAGAAGGUCCACGCCCAGCCUGCACCCUGAAGAGACUCGACAGGAGAUGAUGGACGAACCAACGAGAACUGGAGGAGGGGAAGGGAGCGAGGAAUCAGAAGUGGAGACACGGCAGAGCCUCUGAUAGCACUUUUCUCACCUCAGUCAUCAUCACACUCGGAUACUGAAAUCCUGGGUUUCCUCACACACACAAGCAUUAACGGUGGUUUCAGGGCCGCUCCAGUCAGGGAUUUGUGGGGAUGGCUCAGCCUGGGUUGUGGAGAGGACUGGUUUUAUUGACUGGUUUGGGUGGGGGACUAAAACCAGCUGGCUGCCAACUGGGUCUAAACAUUAGUCAUUACAAAGGUACAUGCUUGCAAGAGGCCAAUACUAAUUGAACUAUGUGGAAAAACUUCAACUGUGAACCAAAUAUGUCCAAAAGGGGUAAAAUUAUAAGAAUAGUUCCUUUUGUAAUGGAAAUCUGAGCUGUACCUUGUGAAGAAGUGAUGAAAGACCCGUAAAAGGAUUAAAGGGGGAUGGGAAAAUGAGUUAAAAAUUUAGAUUUUUCUUCUUUUUUUUUUUUAGCAAGAGAACCUCUCAGAACCUUCUGAAAACAUCAGGAGAUCAUAUUCACACAAAUGUUAAUGUAUGUACAUGCAAACUGUUUCUGUCGGCUGUCUGAGAUUCAACUAUUUGCACAAAGUUUUAGAAGAGUGGAUCUGCAAAGGGACUUUGAACUGCUCACCACCUGUUCUUGUGCUUUCAUCGUCUUAAUCUGUGAAGUUUUGUGACUACGUUGAUGAAAACCUGUCUCGUAGGAUCUUAUGCACACAUUUGCUGGAAUGCCUGAGUGCAGACCUUUUUAAAUCAAAUCCAAAUUACUGCAUCUUGUUUAUAGAUGAAUGUAUCACUGUAUUUUUUUUGUAAAGGUUUAAUAAAGCUGUGAAUAUUUUAAAAGA